ensembl:snRNA U1 U1 spliceosomal RNA
ACUCGCACCUGGCAGAGGAGAUGCCCUGAUCACAAAGAGGGUUUUCUCAGGGUGAGACAUGGAUUGCAUGCUGGGUCUGUUGAUCCGCACGGUUUUCCCAGAUAUUUGAAACCUAUAUAUGCAGAAACUGCAUGGUUUGUGGCUGAGAGGGGCUGCAUCUGCACUCUCUCC